UACAGUUCUGCAGCUUCUGCACAAAACAAGCUCUGGUUAACAGAAUGCAGUGAGUCUGAAGAGGAGGCAAAGUCUCUUCCCUGCAUGCCUUGACAGAGCCAGGGUGUGACAGCGUGGAACGCGGGGCUGCCCAGAACCGAGGCUCAGCUCCCGGCCCCAGACUGCAACUUCUGCAGCUGAGUCGGCAUGAAGAGGAAUAAGCUGGGAACCACCUUCUGACCCACUUCCCAGUUCUUCUCUUCUUUACGUCGGGUCGAAACUUCGUUCGCUCUUCUGGCCUUUCAUUCAUCUACCACGUCUGUUCUUCUGGCUCCUGGAUCCGACUCUCUGGAUUCCAACCUGGAAGAGGCCCUUUAAGACCUCAGGGAAUUUGGACACAUUACAUAACCUCUCUUAGCCUGGCGUUGCUCAUCAGCUACAGGAGGAUCAUAGCCCGCCUACCCACGGGGUUGUCAGGAGGAUUUAUUGUGCCGAUGUCCACAAAAGCUCUUUAACGGGAGGUUGGCCAGUUUGUAGUAGCUCAUCAGCAAACGAUGGCUAUUAACCUGUUCCUUUGUGAAUCAGGCUUCUUCUGAAUGGUUGUUUGUGCACCUGCACGUACACAACCACUCAUCAUCCUUUGUCAGGCAGGGAGAGAAACUUUGGGUCCAGGGGGAUUGAGCAUGAUUAAUCGGAUUCAGGGAAUCUUAAACUAAGAGGGGUGGCUCCUAACUGAGAGGCAGAGUUAGAAACUAGUGGUUUUCUCAAUUUCAGCAGCGUGACUGAUAUUUGGGGCUCCGUAGUUCUCUGUGCAGGAGGGCUGUCUUGUGUAGGAGGUUUAGCAGUAUCCCUGGUUUCCACCCAUUAACUGCCAGGAGCAACCCCAAAGUGUCUCCAGAGCUUUUGAAACGGCUCCUGGGGACAAAAGCAUCCCUGGUUGAGAGCCACCUGACUAGACCGGAGACGUUAAUCCUAGAGCUCAAGUGGGAAGGCAUAAGAAGUGACUUAUGAAAAGAGAAGGGACAGAAAGUCCAAGACAAGUGCCUUCCUUGCUGUGUGAGUUAUCUUUCCAUUACUAUAACAAACCACCUGAAGUAAUCAACUUUAAAAAGGAAAGCUUUGUCUUGGCUCUCCGUUUUGGAGGUUUCAGUCCCUGGUCAGUAGGGUGCAUUGCUUUGGGGCCUGUGGCAAGGCAGCAGAUCAUGCGGGGAGGGCAUGGUGGAGACGAAGCUGCUGACCUCAUGGUGGGAGGAAAGUGAAACAGGGAGAAAGGACCUGAGGUCCUACCCUUCAAGGGUACACCCUCAGCCACCUAACUUCCUUCCACUAGAUAUUUCUUCUGAAGUCUCUACCACCUCUCGGUAGCACCGUGGUCUGGGGAUCAAGCUUUUAACACACAGGCCUUUGGGGGCCACCUCCUCAAACCCCGACACUUAACUUAUAUGGGGCUUUGCGAACAGAUAGGAGCCGGGUUCAAGAUCCUGCCACCUCCUCCGUGUCUGCAGGCAGUUGCUGCCUUUAUAGGGGACGUGCUGAAGCAGAACAGAAGAAGAGGAAAGAACUCCGUUCCCAAAAGGCCUUAAAAGGUUUAAAUCCAGUAAGUGUUUAACCACAUUGGGCUGCCGAUUUCCAGCUUUCUCCUGAUUGUGUUAAGUCCGUGAGAAUUUCAUUUAAGUGCUUUCAUUUUUCCAUUUCUCCACUUGUUUUUAUCAAACCAUGGAGGCAAAAUGCAAUAAAAAGAUUUUCAAAUAAUUGCAGAGACAUCACUGUACAGAUAAAAACGGCAACAUGGCACCACUCAGCUGCAGGCUCACGGCACCACCAAGCAAGAGCCCCAAGUGCUCAGGGUUCCCUCGGAUUGGUGAGGAUCUGUCGGAUAAACGUCAGUGGAGAGGCACCGGUGUAAAAUGUGAGAAUGGAUUGAGUGUGCAGAGAAUUUCAGUCCGUGUAAGUUGAAAAUCACUAGUAAUUACGACAAGGUGAGAUAUAGGCACCGGGUCAUGCUGUAUGUUUUUCUCUUCUUAAUUAGAUUAUAAAUACUUCAAGGGGAAGGAAGAAUUAUUUUUAAAAAAUGCAUCAGAACCCUCUUUACUGUGCAUGCAAUAAACACUUAUUAAUUUCUAAUUUAAUGGGUAAUGGGUAGAAUAAAAUUAAUCCUUUAUUUUGAAUGAGGAGGCUAGGCUUAAAGUUGCCUGCAAUUUUAGAUCCAAUCCUGCUUUGUAGGUGGUUAAGGAAUGUUGUUACAUAUUACAUACAGAUAUCAGUAUAUGGGUAAAUAUAUGUAUGUGAAUAUAUAUAAGCUGAUAGCUCCAGAUAUAUAAAUAUAUAGAUAUCUAAUAUUAGAGAGAGAUACAGAGAGAUUGAGAUAAAGUUAUAGAGAGAGAUAUAGAUCGAUCUCUCUCUCUCACACACACCCGUAAGGAAUGUCUGAGAGGGAGAAAUGUAAGUCAUUAAAUAUAAAUCUUCAUCCAUUACUUUUGCUAGUUACUCAUUUAAGUUGAGCUUCUUUUGGUGCCAACAGACCCACAACGGGGCCCGCUUGGUCUUUGGCACCACUGUACCCAUAUCUUGCUUAGGACCAUGUCGGCCAAUGCAAGACACCAGUGUAGCUGAGCUUUGAAAGCCCAGUCCUGAGGCAGGCGUGGCUGGUGAGAGGACAGCAGGGGCCCUGGGCUGGUCCCCUCUGGCUGCGAGCAUCCUCCACAUUUACAUCAGUGAGCCCUACAGAUAUUUUCUUUCCUGUAUUUGAAAGAAGAUUGAGAAGCUCAGUGUUUUCUUCCAGUCUGCUGCAGAGAACCACAGGGCCAGCGGGUGGGAGUGCCCAGGAGGGAAGUCUGGUUUUGGUGUCCAUAAAGAGAAGUUCUGAAUCAUUAGGGUGAUGAAGCCAACUGCCACGUGAAGCCCCAAACACUCCUUCUCCGCUGGGAAAGCCGAGGCCACAGAUCCCCUAAGGGCCAUUGUCCACUAGUGGCAGGUGAGUGGAAAGUGGGUGCAUGGCCUCUGCUCCGGGUCCUUCCGAGCAGUCAUCUGAGACGGGACUGGAUACAGAGUGCCCCAGGUUCCAGCAGAGACGGGGAAAGAUGAGGUUCUCACUUUCCAGGAAUUGAAAGAGGGUUGGAUCAUAUCAGCUUUUCCCGAAAAUAGACGGAUAAAAAUUAAACAGUUUGCCUUUUCAGGUCUGGUUGUUAGGAGAUGACUUUGGCAGCUAUGAAACCCAGAGUGCUAGCCUGCUGCAAUUGGGAAUGAAGGGGAAGGAACUUUUCAUAGAUGGUCAGAAUGUCCAUGCCAAGGGGUUUUCCUUCUGAGUCAGUAAGCUCAGAGGGUUCCUGCUUUAAUCUUUCUGUUCUCUGUCAUGCGCCUUUAAGGAAUGUCUUGCUACAUUGCUCUCUGAUGAUACUUUGCCUAUACUUUCAUAUCAUUGCUAAUCUCAUUGUACCAUCAUUCCUCCAGAGCUGGGGGCUCAGUUUCAGGAGACCCCUGCCUAGGGGAUGCGAUGACCAUCUGCAGACGCUCAAGUCCCUCAUAUAAAGUGGCAUGGAAUUUACAUAGAACCUACACACAUCUUCCUGAAUGUAUCAAUCACCUCUGGAUGACUUGUAAGACCUAAUAAAAUGUAAACUUAUGUAAAUAAUUGCUAGGCUAUAUUGUUUAAGGAAUGAUGACAAGAAGUCUGUACAUGUGCAGCAAACAUGCAAUUUUUCCCCACAAAUAUUUUUUAUCCAAGGUUGGUUGAAUUUGCUUAUGCAGAACCCAGGGAUAUGGAGGGCCGACUGUAUUCUAAUUUGUUUAUUUUUCUGUAUUCUCCAUCUCUGGUCUUUAGCGCAAUGUCUGACACUGUAGGCUCUCAACCGGUGUUUGUCAUAAAAAUGGUUCAAAUACAUCAAUUCUGGAUGAAGAAAAAGAAUUCUGUAAGAUAAAUCGUGUAUCGUGCUACCAUCUUCCAACGUGAGAUGAUUAAACAAAAUUCAGCAUCUGCAUUUCUUUGUUCUUCAAAGGAUGGAAUUUCUUGCUUUUCCUGGAAGACUGAAUUAGGAAAAAAAAAAUGGGCUGAAACCAAUUUUGGGUGCAGAAUCACUUGCAUAAAAUAACCCAGUGUCGGUGUGGGGUUUUUCUGGUCCUGAAGAGGUAGAUAAGGUCAGCACACACCAUCUUCUUCUGGCUGAAGUGUAGUCUGACGGACCCUGGGAGUUUCUCCCAGUCCAACUCCACUGUCCACCUCAUCGUAUUUCUCAGUUUGUAAAAUCUGGUAUAUGAAGGAACUAUCCUUUGUAGUGCCGAUUAUGGUCACUACUGUUUUUCUUUGUUGAAAUAUUCACUCAGGAUUCCACAUGAGUCAUUUUGCAGAGCAAAUAUUAGACUUUAUAACAUGGUGUUUCCCAGUGGCUGUUUAUCUCAGGCAGAAAGAGUUCUUACUGGGCAGCCAUCAAAGCAGGGCUUUCUAGGAAAUGUCACAGCUCUGCUUUGGCCUUUCUUGGACAUCUGGUAGGUCCUUGUCAAUUUUCUUAAAAACUCUCUUCCAGGAUUUAAUCCUUUUUUUUUUUUCAAAAAUAAUGGCAGGAUCUUCUAUUAUAAUCUCACAUAGCAGAAGAGGCAAGGGAAUAUCUCAGAGAUCUCUUUUACAAGGACACAAAUCCAAACAUAUCCUGGUUACCUCCCCAAAGGCCUUACCUCCAAAUACUAUCACUUUGUGCAGUUCCUCAAAAGGUUAAACAUAGUAAUCAUAUGACCCAGUAUUUCCACUCCCAGACAUAUACCCAAGAGAAUUAAAAGCAUGUCUACACAAACACACACAUGUUUAUAGCAGCAAGUUGCAUAAUAACCAUAAGAGUAAAUAACUCAAAUGGCCAUCAAAUGAUGGAAUAAAUAAGACAAGACAUAUACAUGCCAUGAAAUAUUAUUGAACCAUAAAAAGAAUAAAGUACUUUAUAUACUAUAGAAUGAAUAAACCUUGGGAACAUUGUGUUACUUGUAAGAAGUUAGUCACAAAAGACCGCAUUUUAUAUGAUUUCUUUUAUAUGAAAUACUCCAAAUAAGCAACUCUAUGUAGAGAGAAAGCAAAUUAACUAUGAUGCGGGGAAUGGGAGGGGAUUGCUGAAGAGUACAAUGUUUCUUUUUAGGACAUGAAAAUAUUCAAAAUCGAUUGUGGUGAUGAUUAUAUCACCAUGUGAAUAUGCUGGGGAAAAACAUUGAAUGUACACUAUUUUAUGGUAUGUGAAUUAUAUCUCAAUAAAAUUGUUACAAGAAAAAAAAUAAUGGCAGGGCACUGAAGAAAAUGGCUAGUUUAAGAUGAUUUAUCUGUGCCAUAUUCAUUGAAUUUCAACUACAAAAAAAAAUCAUAAAAAUGUCCCUUUACUAUAAGAUACUAUGGAAAGUGUAGGAGUCACUCAAAAGCAACAGAACAGCGUGUUAUUUUUGAAUCAUUGUGUUCCAGGCAAUUGGUACCUUGUCUAUUUACAUGACUCAUACCACGCCUGGUGUUCCAAGAUGCACAUUAUCCACAGGUUGCUUCCCAAACUAUGGAAAACUUUAGCCACAGAAAGGAAUUUACGAUGUGAGAGAGAGCCUUCUAGAAUCACUUCAUGUCUCUGUGCCUGGGACCUUAUCAACUUCACCCCCCAACCUGGUAGGAAAUGUAGGAGCUGGCCUUGGGAUGACUGAAGGAAAGCACCCGUGGGAGCCAGGCCGUCCUACCUAGAGAACCAGCCAGACGGGGGCUCGUGGGCGAGGGAAGGCACGGCUCCUGUCAUGGCUCAGGCAUGAAGUGUCCCACCAAAGCUCAUGGGUGAAAUGAUGACAUGAUGAGUAGUAGCACCUCAUCGUGGAUUCGUCCACUGAUAUGGAUUAACUGGCCAGUGACUGUAAGCACGUAGGGCAUGGCUGGAGUAGGUCACUGGGGCACACCUUGGGAUUUACUUCUUUUUGUCCCUGGUGAGCAGAGCUCUCUCUCCUUCCUGACUGCCGUGUCCUGAGCUGCUUCCCUCCACCAGGCCCUUCCGCCAUGAUGUGAUGCCGCAUCCUGGGUCCAGGGCAACGGAGUCGGCCAUGCAUGAGCUAAGACCUCUGAAGGUGUGAGCCCCAAAUGAACUUUUCCUCCUCUCAUAUUUUUCUGGUAAGGUCUUUUGGCAGCAGCAAGGAGAAGCUGAGUAAAACGGCCCCACGCAAUAAAGUAUUAAAAUGCUUAAACAACUCCACCGUGAUGGAGGGCGUCUGCUCCUUGGCAUCCAUUCAAGCUGUUGAUUUGUGCACAGAUCCAUCGAUGGCUUCAGGGAGCUAUCAAUUCUGUCUGUGUGUGAGCUGUUUCUGACUCUGAGAUGCUCCCUGCUCAGACUCCAGAAGCAUCUCAGCCCCUACCCCGUGCAGUGUUUUUACCAAAUGUCUCCUCGUAUUUUAAAUACUCAGACAUCCGUGGCCUACAGAGACUUCUCCAGGGAAGAAAUCUCUGCGGUCUCCCUGUCACCCUUCUCACUCCAUCAGUGUUCAUUUUUCUGCUUAAGCAGAUUCAGUGACAUGAACAAAAAAUUAAAAAGAGAGGACACCGCCUGGAAUAUGGGAAUUACCCGGGACACGGACCAAAGCAUUCUUGAGUGAUGGGACAUUUCCAAGAUUUUCAUACCCUCUAUUACAUUGUGCUGUGAUGAUCUACUUGUUCUCUGUGACUCAUCAGAUUAAGAAGUUCUGGAGGGACAGAAAGAAUGCUUUAUUCAUCUUGUGUCUCCAAUGCCAUGUUACUAUCUGGGAUUCCAGUGCACACACAAUACUCAGCACAUACUGGCUGAAACAUUCGCUAUGGUGUGAAUAAGUAUCCCCAAAAUGCCGUGUGUUAAAGGCUCGUCACCGGCCCAUGGCUCUACUCAAAGGUGGUGGGACCUUUAAGAGAUAGAUUCUAGUGGAAAGAAGUUAGGUCGUUGGGGACAUGCCAUUCUUGAAGGGGAUGUUGGCAACCCAGCCUCUUUAUUCCUCUUUUUGCUUCCUGGCUGCCAUGAGAUCAGUAGCUUCCUCCCCAGAUGUGCUCCCACCAAGAUAGACUGGGUUGCCACAAGCCCAAAAGCAGUGGAGCUAACCAACCAUGGAUUGAAACCUCCAAAAUUGUGAGGAGACACGAACCUUUCUUCCUUAUAAGUUGAUCAUCUCAGGUACUUUGUCACAGUGGGGGAAAGCUGACAAAGUGCUGAACAACUCUGAAGUACAAUGAUUCAGUUCUGAUUUGGGGCGGACAGCAAUCACUAGAAGAGUGCAGUGGGUUCAUUCAUGACCUCCCAAAAUAUGUAGUUGCACCCUAAACCUCAGAAUCUGUGAAUGUGGCCUGAUUGGGAAAAAGGGACUUGGCAAAUAUAGUCAAGUUAAAGAAUCUUAAGAUAAAGUCACCCUGGAUUAUCCAGGUAGGCCCUACAUCCAAUGACAAGUGUCCUCGAAAAGAC